GAUAAACGCUGGCGGCGUGCCUUACGCAUGCAAGUCGCACGGCUCCGGGCAACCGGAGUAGUGGCGGACGGGUGAGGAACACGUACCUGACCUAUCCCGGAGCGGGGGAUACCCGGACGAAAGUCCGGUUAACACCGCAUGAGCUCUCCCGGUUGCGGCGGGGAGAGGAAAAUCUGUCUUUGGGCAGGUGCUCGGGGGCGGGGGGUGCGGCGGAUUAGCUGGUUGGUGGGGUAACGGCCUACCAAGGCGACGAUCCGUAGCGGGUCUGAGAGGACGGCCC
rnacentral:rRNA from 1 species